rnacentral:rRNA from 1 species
CCUACGGGUGGCAGCAGUGAGGAAUAUUGGUCAAUGGGCGCAAGCCUGAACCAGCCAAGUCGCGUGAGGGAUGACGGUCCUAUGGAUUGUAAACCUCUUUUGUCGGGGAGCAAGGCCCGCCACGUGUGGCGGGAAGGAGAGUACCCGAAGAAAAAGCAUCGGCUAACUCCGUGCCAGCAGCCGCGGUAAUACGGAGGAUGCGAGCGUUAUCCGGAUUUAUUGGGUUUAAAGGGUGCGUAGGCGGAAGGUUAAGUCAGCGGUCAAAUGUCGGUGCUCAACACCGGCCUGCCGUUGAAACUGGUUUUCUGGGGUGAGGGAGAAGUAUGCGGAAGGCGUGGGGGAGGGGGAAAAGGAAUGAAUAUCACGCAGAACUCGGAUGG